CAGUCGCCACGGUGAGACAGAGGAUGCAAGAGUUAUUCGGAAUGAUUGGCGUAAAGCGUCUGUAGGUGGCUUUUCAAGUCUGCCGUCAAAUCCCAGGGCUCAACCCUGGACAGGCGAUGGAAACUACCAAGCUGGAUUACGGUAGGGGCAGAGGGAAUGUCCGGUGGAGCGGUGAAAUGCGUUGAGAUCGGAAAGAACACCAACGACGAAAGCGUUCUGUUGGGCCGAAACUGACACUGAGAGACGAAAGCUAGGGGAGCAAAUGGGAUUAGAUACCCCGGUGUCCCUGUCUCUUAUACAC
rnacentral:rRNA from 1 species